GCACCGAAACACCUGCAACUAGCAGUGCAACUGCAACAUCCUCGGCACUCAGCAGCCGCAUGCUGUGCAGCGAAUCUGUAGUCCAGCCGCUUUCCAGGCACUUUAAACGGGGCGUCUAGCUGUCUGGCCAGGUUCUUGGACCUAUUCCUGUCCAGAUCGCGCUGGGAGUUGGCCUUGGUGCGAGGACACGCUGCGAACUGUCCGGGAAGUGGAACCCGCGGAGGACGCCCUGGCCAAAUGGUCACCACGGCGGAAUCGCCAGACUCUUAGGCGUCUUGGAAUUGGUCACGGAUCAGAUUUUCUCACCAAAUCGAAACACUUGUCCUUCCCAUUUGGGACAUUCCAAAUCGUCCUUCACCUUCCGUUCACACUCUUCAAGUGUCCUGUGCCAUUAGUGUUUGCUUAAGGUCAGAGGGCUUGUCGAAUGCAAAUAGAUCAUAAAACUCAAAAACAUUUGGUUGCCGUGCCAAAAAAAAGGUGUCAAGUGUUCGGUGAAAUGCGUGGUAAAGGUCGCAAAGGUGGCUACCACGGACAAAUAAACACGACUCUCUAUGUAAAUAUGUGCUGACUAGCAGUUGAAUAAAUACGGGGAAAGAGGAA